CUUCUUCUUUCUUCUUUCCUCUUCUGCUUCUCCUCUGUUUCUCUUUUUCUUCGUUCUUCUUUCUAUCGAUUCAGUUUAGAGGAUUUGAGUUUUAUAAGAGAUGGUGGUGGUGCUGAUUUGGAUUGAUUAAGAUUUGGAGGAAAAGAAAUUGAUGUUGUUGUGGAUAUGAAGAAGAGAUGAACUGAACUAGGGUUAUUGAGCCGAUUUGGAAAAUUAUAUGGAUUUAAGUAAUCUGAUAUUUGAUGUGAGUUGCUAGUAGAUGUUGAAGGAACGGGUGAUUGUUAAUUUGAUGAUAUGAAGUAGAUCUGAAGAUGAAUCAAGGGUUAAGGUUUCCCAGAAGAUUGUUUAGAGGUUCGAUUAUUGAUGAAUAAGAUGGAAUUACAGAUGGGUUUUCCUUGAAUUAGAGUUUGAGGUUGAAGGAUUGCUUGAGAUUGACAGUUAGGGUUCUGUGAGGAAAAAGAAAAGAGGAUUAGGGUUUCUGCAAUUCAGUGAAGUUGUGAUUUUAGAUGUUUAAGAAGAAAUUAAUGGAUGGGUAUUGAAGAACAAGAGGUGAAGAAGAAGUUAUAACGUUAAUUCGAAGAUUCAGUUACUUGAGCCAAGCUACUUUAAGGGUUAAGGAUGAAUAGUAAGGGUUAAGAAGGAAGAGUAAUUUGAUUAAGAUGAAAUAUAUGGAGAAGAGAUAGGUCCUGUGGUGGUUUAUCAAUUUAGAGUUACAACGGCUGUGGUUGGUGAAAAAACAGUACAUAUAAGACUAAUUUCUGGGUAAGUCCUUAUAUUGUUUAAUUUCAGCAUUUGAAGUUGAGUUAUGUGGAUUGUAGAGUUUAUGUAACUAUGAAUGAAAUCUAGGGUGAGAAGAAUACUCAACGGAACUGUGGUUGUAGUUAGAAAUGGUAUUGAUAGUAAUGGGAUUGUUGAUGAAGCUAAGAUAUAAGGUGAGUAUGGAACAAAAUGAGUUUGUAUGACUUGUUAUUUAGAUGAGUGAUCAAGGUGAAUGUGAAUUUGAAUCGAAGGAUGAUGUUGAUGUUGUAUUGUUAGGGAGAUAUCGGUUGAUGGUGGAGGUCUGGAAAUGUAUGUUCUGGUGAUGUGAAUUGCAGGGGAGAAGUUAUAAAGAAUAUGUGUUGUUGUGUGUAUUGGUAGAUGCUGGAGUUGUUACUGCAUAACUGAAGUAGAAGUGGUUGUCUGUGUAAGGGAUUGCAGUUUAUUGAGUUUGAUAGAGAUGUUAUUGAGAUGAUACAAGGAUUAAUCUUUAAGAGCUGGUACUGAGAUGAUUUUCAAGGAGUAUUGUGGCACUGUGAUUGUGGAAUUACUGAUUUGUGGUGGUUUAGUCAGUGUAUGCAUGACAAGGAAGAAACUAAUAUGAGAAUGAAGUUGAAUUCAGGUUAGAUGGUUGAAGUGUUGCACAAUUGGUUGUGUUAAACAUAAAUUAUGUACAAUGGAUGUGAUUUUGUUGUAAAGGUGUUGUUGUAGUUAGGUUGGGAAUGUGGUGUAUGAGGGGAAAGAAAGCUGAGGGUUUGUUGGUUAGAGAUGUGUUCAUAGAUGUAGUUGUAUGGCUUGAUGGCAGUCUCUAUGAAUGCUUGCUUCUGCUACCUAAAGUUAGUCGUUAUUAACAACGAUCGAUUCAAAGGAUGAACCAGUGGAUCGUGGAUCUCGAGGUAGGCGUGGCUUGUCAUCAAAAGAGGUGGGAAUUUAUAUUUAACUCUUUUGUGAUUAUUGUUGUUUUCUUUUACAAGAGUUUAUGUUUAACAAAUUCUUGCAUUGUCUGAUUGUUUAUUCCAUGCAUUAUUUUAUUUAAAAUUUCGAAAGUACUGUUGAUUCCUUUAAUCUUUCCAUGGUUUGGAAAGGAGCUGUAAUGCUUUGUUUGUCUCUAUGAAUUGUUUGGGAAAUAAGAAUUUACAUUUGUAUGCUUGGAAA